GGCCGAAACACCCUUCCUACUGUGGAUGUCGAGAUUUUAAUUCAUGUCCAAUUCUUUCUCCAAGUUUUUAUUCUCACCGAACCAAGGUUUACGCCGGCAAAUUGGGGAAUGGUGAGUGAUAGAUUUGGUGGGUCUCGAUAAAGGGUUAAGACAGGAUGUGUGUAUUGGAUGACUGAAAUUUUACAGGUUUUAGAGUUCAGGAAGGAUUUAAUUGCAAUUGAAGAGUACUCAAGGUACCUCCAUGUACUUUUGUAUACAGCAGAAAGGGCUUGGAGUCAUGCCGUGGAGAAAAGGCAGUUGCCUGAUGGCCCUGUCCCAUGCCAACGUAUCUAUUUGAUUGGUCGAUUGAGAAAGGCAGUCAAAUGGGCUUCACUUUUUGCUUAGUUGUGUGCCGUCAAAGGAGAUUCCAGAACAUCACUAGAAGCCGAGGCCUAUGCUUUUUUUAUGAAGGGUACUCUUCUCUUUGAAAUCGGGAAACAUCAUUGAUGAGUUUCAAGAUUGCAAGGGCUGUUUAUGAGAAAUUUAGCAAGUACGGUGACAUAGAAAACUAAGUGUUAUGCCGUGAGCAUGUUCAAGAGCUGGAUCCCAACAUCAAUUACUGCUCAAUCAAAGCUGGUAAAUCGAACAUAAAGACUUCUGAACUCGCAGAUAUGGGCCAGAUGGAGGGACCUGCAUUGGACCUCUUCAAAGCUAAGCUCGAGGAAAAGGAAUCUGUGGUUGUGGGACACCAGAGUUGUUUGUCAGUUUGGAGGAAGAGGAAAGCAGGAAGGUACAUGUAUGCGUGAGUUUUAGAGUAGAGUGGAUUAGUACUGAACAACAUGGUAUGCAAACCUGGCAGCAAAAGUUUUUUUUCUCAUUUAUUUACUACAAUUCCAUAGUUUAGUAUCCCUUAGUGGUCUCAGCACUCACUUUUGAUCGUACGUUAAGGAGAUUGGAAAAAGUUGCAAUUUUUUUGCAAAGAACAAGAAGCUCUCAAAGAACCUACAAGAAAAGAAGAAAAAAUAAUCUCUACGACGGAUAUAUUACAGCGAUUGGCCCAAUGUUGCAGACUAAUGGGCUUUCUACAAACUAUUUUUCUUAAAAACCAUUGUUGGAUGCCAAAAAUCUACAAUUUCCAACCUCAAUCACGAAUUGUUGUCCCGCUGAUCUCUCUCUCCUUCUCAUUAACUCUGUUUUCUCUUAAGGUGUACUGCAUAUACCACCCCAAUAUAUGGGUGGCUGCACAUGUACUGGAUCAGUGGAUUGGAUUCAUGAAUGGACAUAGAAUUA